rnacentral:lncRNA from 1 species
UGCACUGUUUCCAUUGCUACUAUUUUUCAAGUCAAUCAAAUAAGGAUUCAUUAAUCAUUUAUUAUGUGUAAGAAGCCAAGGUCAUCCACUGCAUUUGAGCCAUCACCAGUUGCCUUGACUUUUUCUUGCCACUGGACUUCUAUGGCUCUGGAGGAGAGAGUGAGGGCUCUAACUUUGUCCAACUCUGCCUCAAUUAAACCCAGUUUAUGCUCUAGUCAAAAGACAUCACUGGUGAUGCCAUUUUGGUCCUCUUUGAGUACAACUAACCAACCUACCAGUCAUGUGCAAGGUUAUUUCCCAUGCCUGGAAAACUACCAGUCCUGCUUCCAGCCAUCAUUUGGGAAAAUAGGGUCCAGCCAUCCCCACCAACUGUCAACCAACUGCCAUAUAGAGGGAAGACAAGCCAACAAACUAACUAAGCACAGACAUCUCUAUUGA